rnacentral:lncRNA from 1 species
GCAGGCUUUCAGUAUGCUCUUAGUUAGAAGGGCUGGGGGAAACAGGCCCUCAGUGGUUAUAGUCUUAGGAUCAGAGUGUUGCUCAAGUUGAGCUCCAGUCAGCUGGCAAAGUCAAUGGCAUUUCAGGGAUCCCCUCUGGACUCUGCAGCUUGCUGCCAGUGCUGCCCAAAUAGAGCAGUGAUCCCUCCAGAGCAGUGAUAACAGAAGUAUUCUGAUUACAUGUCCUGUGAUCUGUUUGUCAGUCCAGAGAACGAUGUUUUUCUAGAGCCUCACUGGAGGAACUGGAAUAGUUGGAAGCCCACAGGUCUGCAGCUGUUGUGUGUUCUAUACUUGUGUAUACCUGGCACUUGAUUUUUUUUUUCCCCCCUCCAGGAACUUUUCUGGUGGAAUGUUGUGAGCUUCAGAAGCAAACUUGGUGGUUUAAUUUCUACAUAGGGAAUAAACACUGUUGGACUGGUUCCAUAGGUCUGAGCCCAACAAAUUUAAUUUCGGCCUCUUCAGCUGAACAAGUCUUUGACAUAUAUUGCUUGUUAGAGGAAGCUUAAAACUGAUAUAUGACAAAUAUAUAUGAAAUUUUUUUCUUGGUUGUAGCACUUGUCUUGCCAGGAUGGUAAAUGAAAUUUUAUACUUUCCUUCAUAGAUAUCAUUACAAAAUACUGUGGAUUUUCAGUUUUCAAAGCACUUUAGGCUUGGGUUUUCAAAGGACAUAAUGGAUUCUCCAUCUGCUGGAUUUCAUUGUAACCUGCACACUUCACUUUUUAGGAUUGCAAAUACCAACUAUCUCACUGAUUUCCCAGAAUAGAUAAGUAGAUAUCAAAAAAAUUUCUUUUGAAUCUGUGAACUUUCCAGUUUGCUUCUUUUAGGUGCUAUACCAGAAAGCCUUCAGCAUUUAGCUCAGUCUCAAGGGUUGGAGUAAAUCUCAUUCUCCAAAGUGGUGCAAACAAAAACUCAACUCAUUUGCUUAAGGAACUGCAAUUUCUGAGGGUCUACUUGUAGAGAUGCAGUACCUGAUCUCCCUUAUUGCUGAGUGCCAGCAAAGUGCAGCCAGGAGGAGUGGGGAUGAAGAGGACCUGGCAUCUAUUUGAUGUAUGUUUUGGAAGGCUUUAUUUUGGACUACCUUGUGGAAAUUCUCCACAUAGCAUCUGGAAAUUUUGGUUCCAGUUUCUUUUGGAAGCAGUGUAGUUCACAUGCUCUUGAGGCCUCUUGGUGAUGCAAAGCAGUACAAAUGGUGACUAUCAAAAAGAGCAUUUGAAAGAACGACUUCAUCCAAGGGAGUAUUGGUGUGGCUGGAGAUUAUGGGUUUGAAUCCCUUACCUGUGGCAAAACUACACUGAUGUCAACCUUGUCUGGCUUUUCAUGAGGGAAAUUAAGGAAACCUGAAGCCAAAACUUUUUAUUUGGUUUAGGUGGUCUAGCAGACCUGUAUUUUUUUAAGCUGAAUUUUCACCAGUUUGUGAAGCUACAAGGUGCAGUUUCUCUCAUCUGUGCUUUUAGAGGAAUUAACAUCUUCACUCAAGGCAGAAUGGGAUAUAUCUAAUUAUACAAUCAUGCAUGACACACAGGAAUGUAAUUUAUAAGUACAUUUAAUAAAAUUUGUUAAAUUUAUCUUCUGUUUCAUGUACUUACUAAUUUCCUGCAUUACAGUAAGCAACUGUAAGUUGAAGACUCCUUUGUUUUAGAACGUUACACUGAUUCUAUAUGUUGGAUUUAUGUGCUGGCUUUCAUCAUCUGGCUUUUUUGAUUGUUAGAAGCUGUUAGAUGAGCAAAAUGUCAUCUAGACUGGGACAGAAUUUACCCACCUGGCCAGUGGUUACCCAAAUUUAUGCAGGUAAACAGGUCCUGUGUCAUCCACUAGAGGGUGAAUCAUAUUGUACAAGAGCCUUACGACCCAGGCACCUGGUGGUGCUCUGCUUCAACUCACUAGAGAGGAGCUGGACGACAGGGCACUGUGUUCUUGCUGUCGUGAAGACGCACAGAUGCUACACAGCUUGCAAAAUCUGGGGAGGCUGCAGCUGCUUAAAGGUGAAGCCUUUAAGCACAGGCAUCUGUAGCACGACCUGAGUUUCAGGCUUCUCCCAUCAAAAGCUUGGUGUCCCUCUCUCCCCUCUAAGUGUGUUAAAUGCAGCAAGCUGUGGCUGUGAGAGCAGGGGCUGAGCAGGUUUUUUCUGCUUAUCUGCAGCAACAAAACCAGAGCUUUGUCCUGGGGAAGAGUAGACUGGGAAGGCACAUGGUCAGGUAUUUUUGGCAUUGUGGGUCAGUUUUCUGAGCUUGUCAGCCUUUUUGCAAACAAGAUAGCAGAGCAGCAGUAAUUUUGAGAGCUUGACAGGAUAGUGAUAGCAAGAUUUUCAGUGGUAUGCUUUGGUCUCCCAUAUUGACAUCUCCCUGAUGAUUCUUGUAGAUUGAAGGUACUGAUAGAUAUCUUCUUGUCCAUUUCCUGUCAUAAUGGGAAACUCGGUACAAAUUGUACUGUAUUCUGAGCUAGAAGGGAGCUACAUGCUGGAGUUCAUCAAUCCCAGUCUAUAAUAGCUAACAGCCAGCAGGAUGAACUUGGAAUUUGAGGUUAUUUAAGAGGAUAAAAAAAGAGUUUUAAAGCAACAGCCUUAUUGCAGUAUUACAGGACAUGCCAUGUUGGUUAUAGAUGGGAAGGUGGCCAUUUGUUUGAGAGAAGAGUAGCCCUUUUGUCACAUUUUACUGGGUCCAGUGCAAGAAAGGGAGUGUUAGAGACAGACUUCUUAAAGGACAUAAUUUAAAAAAAAAUUAUGGCUUAGAAAACAGCUUUGUGCUGAUUUUUUGACAGAGCCUGUGUUGUGUAUGCAACACAUAAAGCAUUUAUGAGCAUUGAGUUAACUGUGGCCAUGGUAACUGUGCCAUGACCCAAAGAUAUGCUCAGCUGGUGUGGUUGUAUUUGGCUAUGUGGGUGGAGUUUCUGUCAAAGGGUUUGAAAUGAAGAACUGAAGAUAAAAAUAAUUCUUAUGAUCUUUUGUAUGCAUGGCUAAACAGCAUCCUUCUAUAAAACAAAGCUGUCAGUAUUUCAGCUUGCUGGUGUCUGGUCUAUUACUGCUGCAAAGAAAACUUUUCAAAACUCAUCUGGUUAGAAAACUUCAGAAACAAAAAGAACAAAUGGCAGUUAAUCUACUUUAAUUUUAUUUCUAAUUAAACCCUUUCUUAAAUCACCCUUCCUUUGAAGAACAAUUUGUUUGCUGUUCAUUGUUUGUGGCUUUUUCUCAGGUGCAAAAAAAUAGUUUCAAUUAAGAAAAAUAAAAAGCUUUGAGGAACUUGUCAUCCAAAAAAUACAACUCUUUAUUUUAUAUAAGCAUGCAUAGGUCUGAGAAAUACAUGGCAUAUCUCCAAUUCACUUGAUUAGCUAAUGAAUUCCUUCCUCCCUGUAGUAAACCAGAGUUGUGCUUUCUAUGUGAUGUAUGUCCCUUCUGUGCCUGUGCUUUCCACCUUCCAGCUGUGCCACCUGGCUGUCCCUUACUUGAGGAAGGACUUGCCAUCAGCCUGGCAUCCAGAGCCUGUUUUAAUCACAGAUUGUUCUUUGAAAAUCAAUACAAACAAGGAGCAAUUGAGCAAACAAGGAGCAUCUCUGACCUUCACCAGGCUCUUGGGAUCAGGUGCAGCCUUUGGAGCUGUGACUCAGACAGUCUGGCACUGUUCUCCAGGCCAGCAGAUGACCUGCAUACCAAAGGGGGCUGUUGAUAGCAACAUUCCUUCUCCAGUGGACAGACCAGAUGGAGAGACUAUGCUAGGAAAUUAUGUCUCCUAUGCUAGAGAAUGAUGAAAAUGUAAGAAAAAACUUAUUUGCUGUGAGAAUACUGGAACUUUGAACCAGGUUGUCAGGAGAAGCUAUGGAGUCUCCAUCCUUGGAGGUACUCAAAACACAAUUGGACAUGAUCCUCAGCACCCUCAUCCAGCUAUGCUUGUUUUGAGCAGAGGUUUUGGGCUGGAUGAUCUCCAGAGUUCCCUUUCUGCCUCAGCUCCUCUGUGAUUCUGUUCUCUCCAAGUGCCUUAGCAGCUUCAGGGAAAGGCACAUGGCCAUGGCUAAGGGGUGGGCACCCUCUCAGCUGAACUGACUGUCCCCCUCAGCUGUGACAGCCAAGUGCUCUGGUAGCCAGCCUAAAGAAGCAUGACACCAUCUCCAUCUCAUGCUUGACCCUUAGAUGCCAUAACAGUGCUGUUGUCCCAAACUUGCCUGGCACUGUUGCCUUUGAAUAAUCAAUGGAAACAGCAGGGCAUGGAAAGGAAAACAAUCCAUUCUGUGCCACCUAAGUAGGAAGCAAGUUACCUGAGAGAGAGCUCAGCCAGAAGGUCUCACAGGGAGGCAGUGAACCAAGUGGGACCCUCAUUUGGUACUCCAUUUUUCUAUCAGAGGGACUGAUCUCCUGAACUGUGGCUGAAAGUACAGCUAGAGUCAAAACAGCUGCAGCAUGGAGGUCUUGAACAUGAUUUUCAUUAUGUCAGCUUUAGUCUAUGAAGCCUUGAAGGCUAAUGCAGUGUAUGAUAAAUCAGGUGCCCACUGACAAGAAUAUUGUGUAGGAUCUUACAUGCUUCUGCAGAGUAAACUGAAACAGGUAAUAUAUGUGGCAGAAAGCAUCUCAGACUCUGUUUAGCUUCUACCAGGCAACCUAGCUGCUGACAAAUAAUAUGAGAUCAAAUCCAAGUUACUUAUUUUCUGGGAAUGUAGAGAUGUAGGAAAAGCCUUUUUUUUGUGUGUGCUGCCAUCCGCAGAGCUCUAAGUUCUCCCAGUAAGCCCCUCUAGCACUUCAGAUGUGUGAAACAAUGCUGCUCUUCCUUUGUUCAAUUAGAGCUGUGCCUGUAAAAGAUUUUUUUGUAUUUUAAAGUGGUCUGUUUCUUUAUAAGCUUAGUCUAAGUCGUGUGAAGACUUCCUGUCUCUCUGGAGAUGCUGUGUGCCUUAACAGGGAGAGGAGGAUUCACGCACUGGAUGUAGAGAGUGGCUUGUUAGCCUGACAGAAGAAAAUGCAGGCUGUCCUGUUUCACUGCACCAAGCAGCAGCUCUGUCUGAGCAGCUGCAGAGGGCAGGCACACCUGUGCCACCUUUUUGCCUCAAACAGGGCAAUGGGCUAUGAAUUUGUUUUUAAUGACUGGCGCUGGGGGACUUCUGUUGUUGAAGGGCGUAGCUGGUAUUCUGGGCUGGCCUCCCUGGCUGCAGCUCAGACGGGUGUAGCAGUUUCUGUUACAAGGGCCUGGAAAGAGGGACUGCUUGGAAAGCAGCCAGGGCAGGAUCUAGCAUACUUCAGAGCUUGAGGCCAUUGCUGUAGCAUCCCAGAAUCUCCACGUGUUCAGUACCUCAGUGCCGCAUAGGCAUGCAAUAAAAUCUUGCCCCAGGUGAUUUUUCAAGGCUCAAGAAAAAGGCCCUGGUUCCUGUCCCAGCCCUCACAUUGGCUCUGGAGAAUAAGUCUGUUUUUUAAUGGAUUUUCCGCUUUUGUUUUUUGACUUACCAGUUUUUAACUGCCAUCAGUUAUUAAGAGCCAUGGCUGGCAUUUCAGGUAGCAUAGGAAAGCAUGGGAUAAUAAACUGGUGACCUUUUUCAGUCAAAAGAGUAAAGUUGUGUAGCAUGUCCACAGCUGAAAUGAAAAGGUAUAAUGAAAUGCAGCUCAUUUAGAGCUUCUGCUGAUUUUUGUAGGCCAGAUGCAAGAUACUUUUAUUCUUCAGGAGGAGGAGGCCUGAAGCCAUAACUGAGCUGUCCAGGUGUGCUGAUGGAAAAAGGACUGAGCUUGUCCAAAGGAAGCAUUUCCUUGCAGUGUACCAGUUUGGUCUUGUCAGAUGCUCACAGAGAAUCACAGACUAAUUUAGAUUGGGAGGGAUGUACAAAGGUCAUCUUGUCAAAACCCCUGCUCAGAGCAUCUCUAAAUAAUUCAGGUUGUUUAGCAUUCAGGCUGUUCAACAGAUCUUCUGUCAGUUCUGUUAAACAUCACUGACAGGAGCACUCACUUCUCAGUUUAGAAGUAAUGAUUGAUUGCUGUCUUCGCUCUGAAAUUCAUGGCCUGGCUUGAUAACUGGUAGACAGUUAUGCAAAACAUCUUUGUUUGUAAAUUCCAAAGCUGUUAUUGCUACAGGACUGGCCAGUGGUCUUCUCUAAAGGUGUUCUUUGUCACUGGAGCCCGCGAGGCUGUGAGUGUGCAGACACGAACCCAGGCAGUCUGUCAUUACCGUUCUUGGGCAAGCAGUCUGUCUGACCGGCUGGGCUGACUUUGCAGGGUUAAACAGAGAGAAUGCUCAUCACAUCUUUUUACACUUUCAUUCACAAAAUCCUGUGCACCCACAUUCUUGGAUUUCCACCCCACGCUUUGAUAGCUAGUUUCCGUACUGCUUCCCUAGUAUUAACCAAAAAAGGUUACUAAUUGCCUAGCUUACUGAAUGACACCCUAAUACCAAGCACUUUGCAACUUGAUAAUUUAUUGUGAGGAAAAUUAUUUGUUAAUGAUUGUCUUUUCUUUGUCUGUCUGUACCAUUGUUUCUGGGGCAAAAGUAUGUGUCAAUUGAUUUUGCAUCAUGUGAAAGAAGCAAGUGUAUUUCCUUAUUUCACAUUGUUUUGCAGGGCAGUUUAUUCUAAUGUGUAAUUAAUUUGCAAACAAAGGCAACCUACUUAAAGUUUUAUUAACUUUGGUUGCAAAAUAUUCUUGAUUGUAAGAAAAUGAAAUAAUGUUUUAGGAAUAUCUUUGUUAUUCAUACUGUGCAGUAACAGUAGGAAUAGUCUGUCCUAGCGUGAUCUGAAAGUUGCCAGAAGUCCAUUCAUCUGUUGUCCAGUUCCUUCACUCUGGCACUUCUUCCUGAGAACCUUUGAAAUUCUAAUGAAUGUUUUUCAUUCUUGUUUCAGGGCUCAAGAUUUCAGGUACAGGAUGUCUCAAAAUCUAGCUGUUUGCUAAAACCUACUUCUCUAGUAAUAAGUUUUUUACCUUAUCCAGG